CUUGAGUAACUAUAAGAGGUCCAGCCUGCCCAGUGACUUUGUUCAACGGCCGCGGUAUCCUAACCGUGCGAAGGUAGCGUAAUCACUUGUCUUUUAAAUGGGGACUUGUAUGAACGGCAUCACGAAGGUUAUACUGUCUCCUUUUUCUAAUCAGUGAAACUAAUCUUCCCGUGAAGAAGCGGGAAUAAACAUAUAAGACGAGAAGACCCUAUGGAGCUUUAAACUCAAUAACAAAUACUGACCUUACAUCAACUUUCAGAAGAUUCACCUUAAUUUUAGUAUUAUGAUUAUUAGUUUUAGGUUGGGGUGACCGCGGAGUAAAAAUUAACCUCCACAUUGAACGGGACCUAUCCCUGAGCCAAGAACUACAGCUCAAAGCACCAACAAAUUGACAUUAAUUGACCCAAUAUUUUGAUCAACGAAC
rnacentral:rRNA from 1 species